rnacentral:rRNA from 1 species
AAAUCGCCGCAAGACCAAAGUGGGGGACCUUCGGGCCUCAUGCCAUCAGAUGUGCCCAGAUGGGAUUAGCUAGUAGGUGGGGUAACGGCUCACCUAGGCGACGAUCCCUAGCUGGUCUGAGAGGAUGACCAGCCACACUGGAACUGAGACACGGUCCAGACUCCUACGGGAGGCAGCAGUGGGGAAUAUUGCACAAUGGGCGCAAGCCUGAUGCAGCCAUGCCGCGUGUGUGAAGAAGGCCUUCGGGUUGUAAAGCACUUUCAGCGGGGAGGAAGGCGAUAAGGUUAAUAACCUUGUCGAUUGACGUUACCCGCAGAAGAAGCACCGGCUAACUCCGUGCCAGCAGCCGCGGUAAUACGGAGGGUGCAAGCGUUAAUCGGAAUUACUGGGCGUAAAGCGCACGCAGGCGGUCUGUCAAGUCGGAUGUGAAAUCCCCGGGCUCAACCUGGGAACUGCAUUCGAAACUGGCAGGCUAGAGUCUUGUAGAGGGGGGUAGAAUUCCAGGUGUAGCGGUGAAAUGCGUAGAGAUCUGGAGGAAUACCGGUGGCGAAGGCGGCCCCCUGGACAAAGACUGACGCUCAGGUGCGAAAGCGUGAGAGCAAACAGGAUUAGAUACCCUGGUAGUCCACGCCGUAAACGAUGUCGAUUUGGAGGUUGUGCCCUUGAGGCGUGGCUUCCGGAGCUAACGCGUUAAAUCGACCGCCUGGGGAGUACGGCCGCAAGUAAAACUCAAAUGAAUUGACGGGGGCCCGCACAAGCGGUGGAGCAUGUGUUUAAUUCGAUGCAACGCGAAGAACCUUACCUGGUCUUG